rnacentral:misc_RNA from 1 species
CUCCGAUAUUCUCUCUCUAAGUGAACGAAGUUCAGCUUCUAAUGAAUCCUUCAACUUUUCUGACUCAUGCUUAAAGUUUUCAUGAGCACCUUCCAUCUGUUUUAGUGCAGCUUCAUUUACCUGUGCUAUACUCUUAUACUGUAGCAUGUGCUCCUUAUUGGCCUGUGCUUCCUCUUUCAACUUUUCAAUCUCCUCCUUAGCCAUUAACAAAUCCGUAACAACCUCAGUAGUUGAAAUAGAAGAAGGUAUGCUGCCAUCAUCCACGUUAGCAACCUUAACAUUUGAAGUUUUGAUCUUUUUCUCCACUUCAGAAAGUUUGGCCUCAGCAACAGCAGCCCUAGUCUCAGCAGCCGAAACAGCAUGCAAGGCAUUUGCCAAUUCCUUUCCCAUUUCCUCAACUUGCCUCAUAGCAUUUUUCAAAGUUUCCUCACGAUCAGAUGUGAGAGCUCUGACAUGGUUCCGCUCUAGUUCCAACUCUUUCUUGGCCUCAGCCCAUUCCCUCUCAACUUGUUUAAUAUACUCCUCUUGUUUUCUCCUCUCGGCAGCUCUUGCCUCCUCGCGAACCUCCUGUGCGCUAUGAAUAGUAUCCAAACUAGCCUGUAGGCGAUAGACUCUCUGUGACAAACUCCCAACUUCAUCACAAGCCCUUUUCUCAGCAUUUGACAACAUCUCUUUUUCAUGCUUAAGAACUGAUACCUCCAUAUUUAACUUCCGAGAAAGCUCCUCAGAGGCUUGCAAUGCUUCUGAACGUUCAAAUAAUUUU